GGUUGUAUGGUGUAGCGGUUAGCAUAACAGAUUCUGACUCUGUUGACCCGAGUUCAAAUCUCGGUACGACCU